UACGAAGGGGGCUAGCGUUGUUCGGAAUUACUGGGCGUAAAGGGCGCGUAGGCGGUUUGCUAAGUCCGAUGUGAAAUCCCUGGGCUCAAACCAGGAAGUGCAUUGGAAACUAGCAGGCUAGAGUACAGGAGAGGAGGGCGGAAUUCCUGGUGUAGAGGUGAAAUUCGUAGAUAUCAGGAGGAACAACAGAGGCGAAGGCGGCUCUCUGGACUGUAACUGACGCUGAGGCGCGAAAGCGUGGGGAGCAAACAGG
rnacentral:rRNA from 1 species